rnacentral:misc_RNA from 1 species
AAGUCGUAACAAGGUUUCCGUAGGUGAACCUGCGGAAGGAUCAUUAAUGAAUGAACAUGGAGAUUGGUUGUCGCUGGCGCCUUCACUGGAGCAUGUGCACGCCUCUCUCUAUUCAUCCACACACACCUGUGAACUUGUGAGACGGAUAGUAGUCCCCUCUGAUUUAAUUCGGGGGGGUCGAGGUCCGUCUUGUCAAUACAUAAACUCCAAUUUAAUAAAUCCGAAUGUAAUCUGAUGUAACACAUCUUUAAACUAAGUUUCAACAACGGAUCUCUUGGCUCUC